UAGGUGAACCUGCAGAUGGAUCACUAACGACAAUGAUCAAACACUUGUGCACUACAAAGCAAGACACACUAAAAGGUGUGAGCUUUACAGUCACUAACCGCUGACAAUCACCCAAUUGUUUCAGUAUCCAACGGCUUGCUUGGGCAUCUAUGGUUGGGAGAGCAGUUGUGUUUCACGACCGUGGCCGCAGAGACCUCAACCGGCAUGGUUAUUUGUUAAUUGCGACAACAACCAAGAUUCAAUGACCCAUUGUGGCGCCCAAGAAUCAUAUUCAUUCAAAUGCUUUUAUUGACUAAAUAGCAAUUCAGCUAUAUCGGUGGAUCACUUGGCUCGUAGAUCGAUGAAGAACGCAGUGAAUUGCGUUAAGAAUCACGAAUUACAGAUAUUAUGAGUGAUAUGUUUUCGAUUGCAUAUUGCAUCGUUGGGCACUUGCUCAUCGAUAUACCCUGCUCAGGGUGUGUAUUCUCACCCGAUUGGCACAAUGCACUUGUUGGUUGUGACAAAAGCCCACAUUUAUGCUCGUGUUCAAGAGAAAGGGUUCUCGUCGAAAGUCUAUUGAGUAAUCACAGGCCGUAGAUGUUAACACACUGAACAUCUAAGCACUCGGUUUAAUCCACCUGAGUCGGAUAUGACUACCCGCUGAACUUNAGCA
rnacentral:rRNA from 1 species